GCCCGUUUAGCUCAGUGGCAGAGCGUUUGUCUUGUAAACAAAAGGUCGGUUGUUCAAUCCAGCCAUCGGGCA